UCCCUUAUUCCGCUCCCAAAAUGUCCAUCAUCCGUCUCUGUCGUUUUCGCGACACGGCUCCGAUAUUCAAAGUUCCACUGAAAUAAUUUCGAUUAUGAGUUUCUUACAUAAAUAUCAUUUAUUUCGUUUCGUUUUCGUUCAUGAAUCAUUCUCAUUCUCAUGCUUUGCAACAUCUCAACAAUUGUGUUUUCAUAUAUAUUGGUUUGCUUUGCCCCAACAUUUAUUCUAGCGUCCCAACUCAAAAACAAAUAUGUAUAAGUACUAGACUUUCUAUUAGGGGCGAAAAAGAGGUAAAUAAGUGAGUGACUUUCGCAUUCUGGGGUCGGUCAUCAUCAUGUGGCAUUCAUAAUUCCUCGCAACUUGCUUUUCCAUGGCACCUGGCCAUGCUCACAGUGUUUUGGAUACUUCUCUAUUUGUAUAUAUAUAUACGCGUGCGUUUCCGGGUCAAC
ensembl:ncRNA lncRNA:CR44816 long non-coding RNA:CR44816